rnacentral:rRNA from 1 species
UAGUACGGCGAGUGAAGAGGGAAGAGCCCAAGAUUGAAAGCUGGCGUCUUCGGCGUCCGCAUUGUAAUCUCAAGAAGUGUUUUCCGCUUCGGACCAUGCCUAAGUCCCUUGGAAAAGGGCAUCAUAGAGGGUGAUAAUCCCGUACAUGGCAUGGAGCGCCCGAAGCUUUGUGAUACGCUUUCUACGAGUCGAGUUGUUUGGGAAUGCAGCUCAAAAUGGGUGGUAAAUGCCAUCUAAGGCUAAAUAUUGGGGAGAGACCGAUAGCGAACAAGUACAGUGAUGGAAAGAUGAAAAGAACUUUGAAAAGAGAGUUAAACAGUACGUGAAAUUGCCAAAAGGGAAGGGUAGGAGGUCAGAGAUGCGUCUUGGGAUUCAGCCUUGCUUUUGCAUGGUGUUUUUCCCAAGUUGCAGGCCAACGUCGGUUUUGGGCACUGGAGAAGGGUAGGAGGAACGUGGCACCUCUCGGGGUGUGUUAUAGCCUCCUACUGGAUACAGCGACCGAGACCGAGGAACGCAGCGUACUCGUAAGAGCGGGCCUUUUGGCACCUUUACGCUUAGGGCGUUGGCAUAAUGGCCCUCUACCACCCGUCUUGAAA